rnacentral:sRNA from 1 species
CCUGGACCACCCAGCCCAGCAAGGAUACUGAGAGCAAGAGAGAGGCCCUCAGUUGCUGAGGACUCCCCAUCACAUCUCAGCCCCUAACACUGAGCAUCUUCCUCAAAAUUGCAUCCCAGACCCCAUAAUAACAGGAGGGGCCUAGGGAGCCCUCCCUUCUCUCUUGAAUACCAUCAUCAAGUUCUGCUGCACCCUCAAAAAAAUACUUCAUGUUUGAGUGCUGUUAAUAGUGGUCGUGGUCAUAACCCUGACAAUCAGUGCAGUUGUUUCUUCACAAAGCAAGGAUCAGAGGGUUGCUACUGUGGAAACAAUUCUAUGGAUAUUACUUUCUGAUAAACUUUGUAAGCAGAGAAGAAACUUCAACAGACUGCAUGUGAGGCAUCUAAUUUAUAUCAGUUUUCCAGGUUAGCUGUCCCACAUACUUGUGGGUGAUCCUACUGCCACUGGUUCCAAUAACAUCAACAGUGCUGUUAAGUUUAGAG